rnacentral:rRNA from 1 species
UCCCUUAAAGCUACUCUCAGUUCGGAUUGUAGGCUGAAACUCGCCUACAUGAAGCUGGAGUUACUAGUAAUCGCAGAUCAGAAUGCUGCGGUGAAUGCGUUCCCGGGUCUUGUACACACCGCCCGUCACACCACGGGAGUUGGAGACGCCCGAAGCCGAUUAUCUAACCUUUUGGAAGAAGUCGUCGAAGGUGGAAUCAAUAACUGGGGUGAAGUCGUAACAAGGUAGCCGUAUCGGAAGGUGCGGCUGGAUCACCUCCUUUCUAAGGA